UACGGAGGUCUCAAGCGUUGUUCGGAUUCAUUGGGCGUAAAGGGUGCGUAGGCGGCGCGGUAAGUCGGAUGUGAAAGCCCGGGGCUCAACCCCGGGAGGCGGGCGGAUACUGCCGGGCUAGAGUCCGGAAGAGGCGAGUGGAAUUCCUGGUGUAGCGGUGAGAUGCGCAGAUAUCAGGAGGAACACCAAUGGCGAAGGCAGCUCGCUGGGACGGUACUGACGCUGAGGCGCGAAAGCGUGGGGAGCGAACAGG
rnacentral:rRNA from 1 species